rnacentral:lncRNA from 1 species
GGUGUCAUUUCACUUCCAUAAAAAUGUCUGAAUAUCCUCAGUUUUACCUAGGAUCCUUGUUAUAUCUUCUCUGUCACAUCUCAUCUCUCACCACCGUCCUCCGCCUUCCGGAAUUCGCCAUCGGCGGAGGUAGAUCUCCAAACUCCACUAAAAAUUGAUCAUAAACUCCCUAUACUCCCUCAACCACUAGGUUGGUGUUGAUUUUCCCAAAAACUCCACCCGUCUCCAUUAAUUUCAGAUCUAAAAAAACAAAAGAAACCCUAGAUCCAUUCUCAUCCCUGGUUAUUCAUGCAAAGGCAUGUGUUCUAUAUUUUCCAAUCUUUGAGGUUUGGCCUGAAACUUGUAUUAAUCAUUUAUUCUCACUAGAACAUUCGAUUAAUACUUAUUUUGGUUUAAAUCAAAAAAGCCAGGUGCUACCUAAUCUAAGUUGUAUGUCCGUCUAAGUAUAGGUAUUUCUUUCUCUUGGUUCCCUUUCUGUCUCUCCGUUCCUUUCUUUUCUUUAUCAUUUUCCUUUCUUUCAAAAAUGAAGUUAUUUAGUUUUUCGUUCCGUGUGUUUGGCCUCAGAGUCAUUAGUUUUCCAAUUGCUUUAGGUGUCUUAAUAUAGUUUAGUUUUGUUUAGCAUUUAAAUCAGUGUAGUUCAUUACUGUUAGUUCUAAUUUCUUUAUUUUGUUUGUUGUCACGAUUCCUUGGUCCAAAGUGAAUUGGUUUAUUUUUAUUUUCAAAUUCGUUUAAUGUUAGUUUAGUUUAUUUUUGGUUUUUUAAUUCUUUCUUCUUCUUUCAAAAUUACUUAGUUUUGAGUUUUUGUUUAGUUUGGGCCUGCCUUGCAUUCAGACAGGCCCAUUAGCACAAAGUCCCAAGGGAUUUUGGCGGUUCAGUUUCCUGGGUUUCCAAUCCCAGCUUUGAUUGAAAGUAAUUAGCAUGUUCUUUAAGGGUAUUUGAAGGAAUUGGAUAGGGAAAAUCUUUCCUAACUGCUUGGGGAAGGUUCCAGGAAGGUGGGAAUUGGGUAGUUCCGCAAAUAGGUUUCAAUUCAGGGUUUAAUUGAACAAAAGGGGAAUUUAUGAGGUGUAAUUCUGAAUGAAUAGAAUCAGGUAGUGCUGCCCUAAGAUCUUACUAUAUAAGGCCUCUUUCUUUCAUUUUUCUGGCAGAGAAGCUUUUCAAUUACCACACUCUGCACCUAGAACAUUUAGAAUACACAUACAAGGAUAAAAUUUCAGAAUUAGAAAAGAAAAGAGAAAAAAAGGCAUAAAAAAGUUACUUGGUCAAGCAUCAUUAUUUGCAAAAGGGAUUAUGUAUGAUGAGCUACAAACCUUUCUGAUUUUCAUAAGAAAACGAGAAGAAUUUCUGGGAAAUUUCAAAAACAAAGAAGCAGAAAUAUGGUUUAAUUAGCGGAAAUGUGUUGUUGCUGUUGGGUUUCUACUCGCUUCUUGACUGCUGCUGACUUCUGGAUAUUUUUUUCUUUAUCUGCUGUAUUCAGGUACACAUCACAAGCUGUGAAAAAUGCGAGAAUGAUUUGUUUGAUUAGAAGAUUAGAAACUCUUUGAUUUUUAUGCUAAAUGCUUUUUUGCUCUUUCAUUUAGCUUGUAGUUUAUUUUAUUUAUUUAAACGUACUAAUAACUAAUGAUUUGUAUCACUUAGUCAUAAUGUAGUUUGGUGUAAUAGUCUUGUUAUACUGGGAGAUCAUGAUAUUUAUGGAUUGUGUUAGAACCUGGAUUAUAUGUUGACUGUGUAUGUUGGCGUGGACAAGUAAUUUCGAUCAAAUCGUGCUAAGUGCUAAUAUCCUUUAAGGCUAGUUUGUAUUUAAUAGGUGUUGAACCAUUUAAUUUUUUGGUUAAGAUUAGUUGUAUAUGCGAAUCAUUCAUGGUGUUGCUAUUACUACGAGCCAUUCAAGGUUAGCUCAUAACCUAGAUACCCAUGUAUUUCUGAUGUUCGAAACUGAUGUACUAUUUCACUAUAAGCGAGUUAGGGGAAUUAAGCCUAAGAGAUCCUUAAUGUUGAAGUCCUCUUUCGUUUAAGGUUAUUGGGCAACCUUGUCCCAUAUCCGUGAUCCGUUGAAGUACUAUUCAAAGAUGUUUCAUGGUUUUCUUUGGUUUGUUUUGGGAUCAAUCUUGAACCAUGCUGGAUUCAUUUGCUCCAGUUCGUAAGUUUAAAUGUUGCAUGGAAAUGCUCAAAUAAUUACUGAUAUUUGAUUUGGUAUGUUAAGUUUGGGCCUACUAUCGGCCCAGAAAUUUCCUCAAGUAAAUUAGAUACUCAGUGUAUUGCCUACU